rnacentral:misc_RNA from 1 species
GGAAACGGAGCUCAACAGGCAGAUCGGCGGGCGAACUCUCGUUCUGCACCGGCGAUUUGCUUCUUUGCAGCUUUACAAUCCUAUUAUCUCAACGAUAAAUAUAUAAGGAUACUUGCUAGAGCUUGGAGAAGAAAGGUAAAAGGAAUUAGUAGAGUGAAAAGAAAUCCUGUACAAUGUCUUCACAAAAGAUUGAAACUGGCCAUCAAGACAUGAUCCAUGAUGUACAAAUGGAUUACUAUGGCAAACGCAUAGCAACAGCUUCCUCUGAUUUUACCAUUAAGAUUGUUAGCGUUAGCAAAAACUCUGGUUCACAACUCUUAGCUACAUUGAGUGGUCAUAAAGGCCCAGUUUGGCAAGUUGCUUGGGCGCACCCGAAGUUUGGUUCAAUGGUAGCUUCCAGCUCUUACGAUGGUCAAGUGAUAAUCUGGAAGGAAGGAAAUCAAAAUCAAUGGUCACAGGCUCAUGUUUUUAAUGCACACAAGUCUUCGGUGAACUCUAUUGCCUGGGCACCACAUGAACUUGGCCUCUGUUUGGCCUGUGGAUCAUCUGAUGGAAAUAUAUCGGUCUUUAUUGCCAGAUCUGAUGGUGGCUGGGACAACAAUCAAAUCGAACACGCCCACCCUGUUGGAGUGACCUCAGUUUCAUGGGGCCCUACGACGGCUCCAGGUUCCUUAGUUGGAUCCAGUUUGGAGGACCCUGUUUGGAAACUAGCUUCUGGGGGCUUUGAUAGUACCGUGAAGGUGUGGACGCUAAAAGAUGGAAGCUGGAGGAGGGAUUCCUCCCCUGCCCUUCAGAUGCACACUGAUUGGGUGAGGGAUGUGGCUUGGUCGCCAAACCUAGGGCUUCAAAAAUCCACCAUUGCAAGUGGUUCUCAGGAUGGGACAGUGAUUAUUUGGUCUGUUACAAAG